rnacentral:sRNA from 1 species
CGGCGUACACCUGCUGCGGGGUGACCAGGUGGACGUGCGCGUCGAUGCCGCCGGCGGUCAGGAUCAGGUGCUCACCGGAGAUCGCGUCGGUGCCCGGACCGGUCACCAGGCCCGGGGUCACCCGUCCAUGAUGUUGGGGUUGCCGGCCUUGCCGAUCCCGGCGAUCCUGCCGUCCUUGAUCCCCACGUCCGCCUUGACCACGCCGAGCAGCGCGUCCACGACUGUCACGUUGGUGAUCACCAGGUCCACCACGCCCUCGGCGCUCGUGGCCUGGCUGGCACUGCCCAUGCCGUCG